GAUGAACGCUGGCGGCGUGCUUAACACAUGCAAGUCGAACGAAGCACUUUAUUUGAUUUCCUUCGGGACUGAUUAUUUUGUGACUGAGUGGCGGACGGGUGAGUAACGCGUGGGUAACCUGCCUUGUACAGGGGGAUAACAGUUGGAAACGGCUGCUAAUACCGCAUAAGCGCACGGCAUCGCAUGAUGCAGUGUGAAAAACUCCGGUGGUAUAAGAUGGACCCGCGUUGGAUUAGCUAGUUGGUGAGGUAACGGCCCACCAAGGCGACGAUCCAUAGCCGACCUGAGAGGGUGACCGGCCACAUUGGGACUGAGACACGGCCCAAACUCCUACGGGAGGCAGCAGUGGGGAAUAUUGCACAAUGGGCGAAAGCCUGAUGCAGCGACGCCGCGUGAGCGAAGAAGUAUUUCGGUAUGUAAAGCUCUAUCAGCAGGGAAGAUAAUGACGGUACCUGACGAAGAAGCACCGGCUAAAUACAUG
rnacentral:rRNA from 1 species